CUUUUUUCUCCUAUUUCUCACCUUUUUUUUUGGUUUCAUCUUCCGAGCGAUUCAUUUGUCGGUCUUUGAUCCGCAACCAACAAGCUACUACCGGAAAAUUAGCGAGAUUUAUUAAGCGGUUGUUUUCCCUAAAACGUGAUCUAUCAUUCAUUUCUCUUCUGCUUUUAUUUAUUUCACGAUAUUGUAGAAUAUACGCCGUUUAUUGAAUAGACGUUCAAGAGGCUUGCAUUUGGGUGGUCAAAAGAGCAAGUGGAACGAAGGAAACGUGAAAAAUUCCAGAUACGUUGUUGGAGGUCCUCGAACCGUGUUCUCAAUAGGAUACGCAGAACCUGCAAAGGUCUUCAAUACUGCAAGAAAAAAGGUUAUGGUUACACGAUUCAAUUUAUUAAAGGAAACAUAUUUGUCAGAAAUACUUUUGUGAACAUGUUUACACAUUUUCAUAAUUUAUCAAGUCGAUCACAUCUACUAACAAACUCGUAUAAUUCGUGAAUCGACAGACGAAGUACCCUUUUUGCUUCUGCACCACCCCAGGAGAUUUUUUCCCAGUUCUACACACUCACGGCACGGAGUCCUUUGAGAACAGCUGAUUCUCGCGAACAGAGGAAAUAAAGAAACACAUCCUGAAUUAUCGUGGUCCAUACAAAGACGCUCCUGGAUGAGGAUGAUGAGGAUGCGCAGGAUAAUGAACC